UAACAACAGGCAUGACCUUACUUCGCCAUCACUUAGAAAUGAUGGAUUCAUUUACGUGCAUUAUCCAGAUAGCUGGAGCAAGAAGCCUGGAUGACAAGAAAUUUAGGCUCCUAAGACUGGCUCUGUAAUUAAUCCACGAACUGACCUUUGCCAAGUCAUUUAACUUCUCUGGGGCUUUCACAUUUCUUUGUCUUUGUAAGUGUUAUUUCCAUCUGGAAUUCCCUAACUUCUUUGACAGGCAAAUUUACUCAUCGACAAUACUCAGUUUGGUAUUAUCGUCUUUCUGAAAUGUACCCUGACUCUCCCCACCUACGCCUGAGCUGAGUUAGUGGUGAUGAAGUCAUCUUCAGAACUGAUCUGCUUCCAUCAGACAAAUUCCAAACAGUCCAGGCUCCUAGAUAAGUUUUCAAGAGAGGUAAUGCACUUGAUUUCAUACCAUUUCUGAAAUCUCCAAGUGAAAAAAAAAUGUUAGUUAUGUGUAAUGGGGCAAAAUGUCAUUUGUCUUUUUGGGGAGAAUGGUCUGAAUGACUGUCAUCAGCAACUUUGAAGGCUGUUUUUUUUUUUUUUUUUUUUUUUUUAAAUGGAGUCUUGCUCUUGUCGCCCAGGCUGGAGUGCAAUGGCACAAUUUCUUCUCACUGCAACCUUUGCCUCCUGUGUUCAAGCGAUUCUCCUGCUUCAGCCUCCCAGUAGCUAGAAUUACUGGCGCCCGCCACAAUGCUCAGCUAAUAUUUGUAUUUUUAGUAGAGAUUGGGUUUCACCAUGUUGGCCAGGCUGGUCUCGAACUCUUGACCUCAGGUGAUCCACCUGCCUCGGCCUCCCAAAGUGCUGGGAUUACAGGCGUGAGCCACCGCUCCCGGCCGAAGGCUGGCUUUUUUACCAUCAUUGAAAUCAAGUUAGAAUGCACUGUCUCUUCAUAGGUAACAAGUAAAUCUUUGUAAUCAAUUGGAAUAAAUUCCAAUGAGCUUUUUGAAAAAAUGAAAUUUCUGGGAUAUUAUUAAUGAUGCACAUAGAAAGACAGUGAAUCCAAUGCACAUUUUCUUCAGUUUUGAUAACGUUACUGUGAUUCCUCGCUUGUCCAAAAGAAUCGAAGAAUGAGUUCGUUCUAGCUUUCUACAAAUGAAUUCUGCAUUUCAUUCACAAUGAAAUAAAAGAGCAAAAGUUAUCUGAGUAUACCACUAAAGUACUAUAUAUCUGUAAAUUACUUUACACUUGCUAUCCUCGGCUCAUCAGAUUAAGCUACAAUCAGAAUGUCUCAUUUAUAAACGGAAAGUUGAUCAGCUUUUUACUUCCGACCACAAGUUUAUCUCCCCUCAGAUACCACUGAUCCAGUGAGGCAUUUAGCUUGCCAUAGGCCAGGCUGGGGCCAGUACCACGGCAUCCGCAAGGGUGCCAACCUUGUUUGCCUGGAUGCCUCCAGCAGAUUCGCGCAAACUGCAACUGGUUUUACAUCAGGAAUACUGUUUGACCAAAGAGUAAUUUAGGAGCCAGAGAUGAAGUGAGUAAACGUUCAACCGAGGGGUCAAGGUUUCAAACGCACACGUUCUCUAUCCCACCAGGAAAGUUCGAUACUGUAACAGUGUUUUCGUUUUUCCUUGUCCACCCUAAAGGUUUUCGUCAGGAUAUUCCCAAAGCCUCCGUCGGUCUGGGGGCAGGAGUAGGGAGAAGGGAUGAGG
rnacentral:lncRNA from 1 species